AUUUAUUACCGACGCAAAUUUUGCUAUGGGUGGCUGCUUGGGUACUACGAGCGUGUGCUUAAAACUCAAAGAACUUGGCGGCUAGUUAACUACCUAGGGGAAUAUGCGCCUUAAUCCGAUGGUCCCCGUAGCAUCUUACUGUGCCUCGAAGAAGUUCAGCUGGUGUAUUGCCGUUGUCAGCCUGUAGUACGAGCGAAGAGUAACAGGCUCAAUGGAACUUUUGACAAGUUCAAAAAGGAUCCUUGAAUUCAGGUCGAAAUGCUGCCUAUGGCUCAAGGGAGUGGGUGUUACAAUUUAGAUUUAAAAUUACGGAUCUCAGGAUGAAGUGCCUGGGUGAAGGUGAACUUAGGAGUAAGGGAAGAUUAAUAUGCUACCCUGAACGUGAUUCUAACUUUCGUACAAACUGCCCGUCGCUCUCUCCGAGAGGGGAGAU
rnacentral:rRNA from 1 species